GACGAACGCUGGCGGCGUGCUUAACACAUGCAAGUCGAACGCAGUGGCGAACGGGUGAGUCACACGGGGGUGACCUGCCCUGCACUUCGGGAUACGCCUGGGAAACUGGGUCUAAUACCGGCUAGGGUGGGAUGGGCCCGCGGCCUAUCAGCUUGUUGGUGGGGUAAUGGCCUACCAAGGGGGCGACGGGUAGCCGGCAUGCGAGGGUGGACGGACACAAUGGGACGGAGACACGGCCCAGACGCCUACGGGAGGCAGCAGUGGAGAAUAUUGCACAAUAGGCGGAAGCCUGAUGCAGCGACGCCGCGAGGGGGAUGACGGCCUUCGGGUUGUAAACUCCUUUCACCAUCGACGCGGUAGAUGGAGAAGAAGCACCGGCUAACUCCGUGCCAGCAGCCGCGGUAAUAC
rnacentral:rRNA from 1 species